rnacentral:sRNA from 1 species
UUUUUUUUUGGUUUUUUUUUUUUUUUGUUGUUUUUUU